UACGUGAGGGGCGAACGUUGUUCGGUGUCACUGGGCUUAAAGGGUGCGUAGGUGGUUGUGUAAGUAACGUGUGAAAUCCCUCGGCUUACCCGGGGAAUUGCAUGUUAUACUGCAUGACUUGAGGACUAAAGGGGAAAAGGGAACUCCAGGUGUAGCGGUGAAAUGCGCAGAUAUCUGGGGGAAGGCCGGCGGCGAAGGCGCUUUCUGGUUAGUACCUGGACACUGAGGCCACGGAAAGCGUGGGGAGCAAACAGGG
rnacentral:rRNA from 1 species